rnacentral:rRNA from 1 species
GCCUACGGGGGGCAGCAGUGAGGAAUAUUGGUCAAUGGGCGGGAGCCUGAACCAGCCAAGUCGCGUGAGGGAAGACGGUCCUAUGGAUUGUAAACCUCUUUAGGCGGGGAGCAAUGCCGGGCACGCGUGUCCGGAGGGAGAGUACCCGCAGAAUAAGCAUCGGCUAACUCCGUGCCAGCAGCCGCGGUAAUACGGAGGAUGCGAGCGUUAUCCGGAUUUAUUGGGUUUAAAGGGUGCGUAGGCGGGACGGUAAGUCAGCGGUAAAAAUGAGGAGCUCAAAUCCCUC